GGUCAAGUUAUUAAGGGUGCAGGGCGGAUGCCUUGGCACUAGGAGCCGAUGAAGGACGUGAUAAGCUGCGAUAAGCUUCGGGGAGUUGCACGUAAACUUUGAUCCGAAGAUUUCCGAAUGAGGAAACUCACUUAGAGUAAUGUCUAAGUAUCAUUAAGUGAAUACAUAGCUUAAUGAGGGGAACUCAGGGAACUGAAACAUCUAAGUACCUGAAGGAAGAGAAAGAAAUUCGAUUCCGUAAGUAGCGGCGAGCGAACGCGGAUUAGCCCAAACCAAUAAAGUUUUCUUUAUUGGGGUUGCGGACAUAUCAUAACGAAGAGGU
rnacentral:rRNA from 1 species